UGCAUCUGUAAUUUGUCUUCUGGAAUUUGUCACUUGCGCCCCGGUAUUUGGUUUUCCAGAUAUGGACGUUACAGAAAAAGAAUGCGGUCCGAACCUUAAUUACUUCUCGAUACAGAAAUGUGAGGGCUAAAUCCCAAAAAUAACUGGCAAUGUGGCUAUUCCUACGAUCCUGAUAAUUGAAUAAAUACUUCGUAAA